rnacentral:rRNA from 1 species
CAGUAGCCGCGGGAAUACAGAGGGUGCGAGCGUUAAUCGGAUUUACUGGGCGUAAAGCGUGCGUAGGCGGCUUCUUAAGUCGGAUGUGAAAUCCCUGAGCUUAACUUAGGAAUUGCAUUCGAUACUGGGAAGCUAGAGUAUGGGAGAGGAUGGUAGAAUUCCAGGUGUAGCGGUGAAAUGCGUAGAGAUCUGGAGGAAUACCGAUGGCGAAGGCAGCCAUCUGGCCUAAUACUGACGAUGAGGUACGAAAGCAUGGGGAGCAAACAGGAUUAGAUACCCGAGUAGUCCCUGUCUCUUAUAC